rnacentral:rRNA from 1 species
AGGGUGCGAGCGUUAAUCGGAAUUACUGGGCGUAAAGCGUGCGUAGGCGGUUCGUUAAGUUCGUUGUGAAAGCCCCGGGCUCAACCUGGGAACUGCAAUGGAAACUGGCGGGCUUGAGUGUGGCAGAGGGGGGUGGAAUUCCGCGUGUAGCAGUGAAAUGCGUAGAGAUGCGGAGGAACACCGGUGGCGAAGGCGGGUCUCUGGGCCGAUAUUGACGCUGAGGAGCGAAAGCGUGGGGAGCAAACAGG